GAUGAACGCUGGCGGCGUGCCUAAUACAUGCAAGUCGAGCGAACAGACGAGGAGCUUGCUCCUCUGACGUUAGCGGCGGACGGGUGAGUAACACGUGGAUAACCUACCUAUAAGACUGGGAUAACUUCGGGAAACCGGAGCUAAUACCGGAUAAUAUAUUGAACCGCAUGGUUCAAUAGUGAAAGACGGUUUUGCUGUCACUUAUAGAUGGAUCCGCGCCGCAUUAGCUAGUUGGUAAGGUAACGGCUUACCAAGGCGACGAUGCGUAGCCGACCUGAGAGGGUGAUCGGCCACACUGGAACUGAGACACGGACCAGACGCCUACGGGAGGCAGCAGUAGGGAAUCUUCCGCAAUGGGCGAAAGCCUGACGGAGCAACGCCGCGUGAGUGAUGAAGGUCUUCGGAUCGGAAAACUCUGUUAUUAGGGAAGAACAAAUGUGUAAGUAACUAUGCACGUCUUGACGGUACCUAAUCAGAAAGCCACGGCUAACUACGUG
rnacentral:rRNA from 1 species